AGUGAACGCUGGCGGCGUGCCUAAUACAUGCAAGUCGAACGAACGAAUAAGAGCUUGCUCUUAUAAGUUAGUGGCGCACGGGUGAGUAAUAUAUAGCUAAUCUGCCUCUUAGUAGAGGAUAACAGUCGGAAACGAUUGCUAAUACUCUAUACUUCUGCUUUACAUAAGUAAAGUAGAGAAAGUUUUUCGCUAAGAGAUGAGGCUAUACUGUAUCAGCUAGUUGGUAAGGUAACGGCUUACCAAGGCUAUGACGCAUAACUGGUCUGAGAGGAUGAUCAGUCACAUUGGAACUGAGACACGGUCCAAACUCCUACGGGAGGCAGCAGUAGGGAAUAUUGCGCAAUGGGGGAAACCCGGACGCAGCAACGCCGCGUGGAGGAUGACACUUUUCGGAGCGUAAACUCCUUUUAUCGGGAAAGAAUAAUGACGGUACCCGAUGAAUAAGCACCGGCUAACUCCGUG
rnacentral:rRNA from 1 species